CACUCUGAAACAUGGCAUCCGCUACAGAACGUGUUGAGUUUGUAGCGUAUGUGCCACCUGCCACCCAACGAUUCCAUUAGAGCUCUACAAUAGUUGCACAGCGGUUUCGUCCGCUGUAAGUGACUAUUUUGCUUUUUUUGGGAUGAAAUAAUUUCUAUUGUGAACUUUCCAGCUAAUUCGGAAACUCACAAAACAAAAUGUUUAAUGUUUGGGGUAUGUUUUGUGGGAAACUUUAAUUUAUGGUUUAGUAUUCCAUGGUUGUCCAUCUUCAUAUUUGGAAUUCUAUGUCAAAAUAGGUUAAUUUAUUAGUAAUAUCUCAAUUUAUCAAGCAAUUUGUAGUCAUGGGCUGGACACUCAUGAGCUUGACAUCCGAGUAUAUAAUCUUUUCUUGACACAUAGAUUAUAUACACUGGUGCUGAAAUUGUGCAAUUGGAAAGCAACUAUUGCAUGUAUGGAAAUGGUUAUUCAAAAAAAUAAAUAUUUAUUCAUUACGAAAGUAUAAAAAUGGGUACCCGAACUUUUUUUAAUUCUUUAUUUUACAUUUAAGGAAAUUUGUAUUUUUUCAGUUGUAAUGAUUUUUAUGCCUUUUUCGGGAUUCACUAAAUCAGUUAAGUAUGUGUUUUAAUCAAUUUGCUCCUAUAGAAAGAGUUACCUCAAACCAUUGACAAGAGCUCUAGAACAUAAUGAAAAAUUGAAAUACACUUCAAAGAUCAUUCAAUUGGACCAGAAUCAUUAUUUGCUUGUUAUAAUAAACUGUAUAAUGGAGUACAUGGCUGUGAAAUCAUUAAAUUAACCAAAAAAUACAUUAUAUAGGUUACCUACUAUGAUAAACCAAUAUGUGGAACACCUUUAGGAAUAAAAUUUCAUGAUGAGUUGUUAUAUGUUGCUGAUGAAUACUAUGGAAUUUUGACAGUAAAUGUUCAUAAACGCAAGUUUGAUGUGAAGAGAGGUUUCAAAUAACAUUAGCUAAAAAUGGUGAUAUAUACUAAACCAAUACCUCAACUAAUGUAUAAAAUGGUUUCUUUGAAUUCUUAUCUUAUCCAUUUGACAGAUGUAUACGAAAAGCACCCAGAGAUUGCAAAUGAGCUGAACGUAUGUGAUAAACGUGGGCAGAGUAGAAUAGAGACAGCCAGAAUUACUCAAGGCAAUUGUGAAAUUAGUGAGUCAUGGUGCUUCCACUGAUGCAAGAAGGUGAAGUGAAAUUUUGAGCAGCUGUCAUUUUUCUAUCACAGGAUGAUAAGACAAGAGUGCCAUUGGGGAUCACAGCAGCAAAUGAACAAGCGCCUAUUUUAAUACACUUGGAUUAUCAGGUCAAACUUUCAGACCACGAUUGGGUGGUAGUUGAAAGGCACAAACUUAUACCGUCUGUCUACGCUUUAUUAGUUGUUUUGCCUGAUAUGAUGGGCUCUGCAAAAGCUGUAACGUACUUGGGACCGAUUCAGUUGUGAUUAGAAGUGGCAAGCACUCAAAAUCAACUGCUUCUACUUAUGCUGUUGAUUUUGAAUUAUUAGAAAUUGAGUCUUUCAAGCAAAAUAUGCUAGAUGAAAAUGGUUUUGUGAAACCAGUUGUUUUUUUGUCUGUUGAUGGCGGGCCAGAUGAAAACCCGUGCUACACCAAAGUUAUUCAGCAUGCGAUAGAUCAUUUCUAUAAGUACGAUUUGGAUGCAAUAUUUAUUUUUACUAAUGCACCGGGAAGAAGUGCUUUUAAUCCAGUAGAAAGAAAAAUGGCACCCCUCAGCAGAGAACUGGUAGGCGUUGUACUCCAACAUGACCACUUUGGAAGUUAUUUAGAUGAUAGUGGAAAAACUAUCGACAAUGACUUUGAGCUAAAAAAUUUUGCUUUUGCUGCAAAAGUUUGUGGUGGCAAGUAAAUGCGUAGUUGAUGGUUAUGAAGUGAUGGCAGAAUAUGUAGAACCACAGGAAGAUAUACCGAUCCCUAAUUUACCAUCACAGCAAGUGUGGUAUUCAAAGCAUGUGAGAGAAAUUCAAUAUUUUCUUCAGAUUCCAAAAGGCUCUAAGGAAAAUUGCUGUAAACCCGCUAGAAGUGGACUGAAACAAGUUUUGGCAGAUGGGUUUUUGCCGCCGCCGUACCCACUAAAACAAACUUCGACAAAAGUCGAAGUUCUUCAGCCUGGUGUAGAUACACAGAUUUGCUUUGGAGACUUACUAUGCCGUAUUGACAUUAAACCAGAACAUCCAGGAUUCACUAGCAUGCCAUAUGACUGUUUUUGCCCAAGUGUGGCUUGUAUUUCACUACAAAAAAAUCUCAAAAUUCAUAAGCAAAGCAUACAUGGUUCAUCUGUGUCGUUAUCAGAAAGAGUCAAGCUAUUUUAAGUUAUUGCAAGACGAGGCAAAGAAAUAUUAAUAAAGCAAAAAGCAGAAUCAGAACACGUCGGGUGGGUGGACGAAGAGACUCGAUAUAGAAAAUGUUAAUAUAAUCAAUUAUUAUGAACUUGAGAAAAAUUCUGUUCCAGAAAUUCAAGAGGGGUUGGAAAAUCCUUUUACGGACGAUACGAAAUGAUUUUUAUAAUUGUACUGAUUAAUCUAAAAUGAGUGUAUAACUUAAGAUACGCCAAAGACAUGUUUAAUAAUCCAAAUUCUAAAAUUUAUUUAUUUUUAAUAAGACAAAAAAUGUAUCAGAGCAAAUAGAUAGUCAUAUAAUAUGACAUUAGAUAAUGUAGCUUGCAAUAUUUAAGUUAAAUAAACAUGUAUAAGCAAA